rnacentral:rRNA from 1 species
AACGAACGCUGGCGGCAUGCCUAACACAUGCAAGUCGAACGGCACCUCCGUAACUGGUUGCUCACACGUGCGUAGCGCGUCGGACCCUGCCUUUAUAUUCCGGAUACCACAUAUACGUUUGGGCUAAUGCCGGGUGAUUUAUUCUAACAACACAUAGGUCCCCUUUGUAUGAGCGCGCGUUGUUUUAACUAGUCGCUGUUGUAAGAGCCUACCAAGGCGAUGAUCCAUAGCUGGGCUGAGAGGAUGAGCAGCCACGCUGGGACGGAGACACGGCCCAGACUACUACGCGAGGCAGCAGUGGCUAAUAUUGCACAAUCGGGGAAAGCCUGAUGCAGCAAUGCUGGGUGAGUGAUGUAGGCGUUAGGGUAGUAAAGCUCGUUUAUCCGAGAUGAUAAUGACAGUACCGGGAGAAUAAGCACCGGCUAACUCCGUG